GAGUAAAGUCGUACAAGGUUUCCGUAGGUGAACCUGCGGAAGGAUCAUUAUUGAAACAUUGUGAAGGAGGUUGAGCUGGCUCUCUAAGUGCAUGUGCUCACCUCCUUUCAAUCUUCAUCCACCUGUGCACAUUUUGUAGGGGAAUUUGGAACGGUGUGAAAGCCCAGUACAAGUUUCUCUAUGUUUUUACACACUCUAUUGUAUGUCUUUGAAUGUAUAUUUAUUGGGACUUAAUUGACCCUUUAUAAAAACUAUACAACUUUCAGCAACGGAUCUCUUGGCUCUCGCAUCGAUGAAGAACGCAGCGAAAUGCGAUAAGUAAUGUGAAUUGCAGAAUUCAGUGAAUCAUCGAAUCUUUGAACGCACCUUGCGCCCCUUGGUAUUCCGAGGGGCAUGCCUGUUUGAGUGUCAUUAAAUUCUCAACUUCAAAAACUUUUUUGUUUCUGAGGCUUGGAUGUGGAGGUUUGCCGGCUUAUAACAGAGUCGGCUCCUCUUAAAUGCAUUAGUGGAAAACUACUUGUGUGGACCACAUUGGUGUGAUAAUUAUCUACACCAUUGCUUGUUGUUCACAAGGCUCAUAAAAAGCAUCUCGAAUGUAAAUCUCCUUUACAUUUCGGUUUUGAAAGUUGCAUUGAUUUGCUCUUUCUGGCUUAUCGAGCUUUAGACAUCUGCUUCAAACUGUCCUAAGUUACUGGACAAAUCUAUUUGACUUGUUGACCUCAAAUCAGGUAGGAC
rnacentral:rRNA from 1 species